rnacentral:rRNA from 1 species
GGGCGUUAAGUUGCAGGGUAUAGACCCGAAACCCGGUGAUCUAGCCAUGGGCAGGUUGAAGGUUGGGUAACACUAACUGGAGGACCGAACCGACUAAUGUUGAAAAAUUAGCGGAUGACUUGUGGCUGGGGGUGAAAGGCCAAUCAAACCGGGAGAUAGCUGGUUCUCCCCGAAAGCUAUUUAGGUAGCGCCUCGUGAAUUCAUCUCCGGGGGUAGAGCACUGUUUCGGCAAGGGGGUCAUCCCGACUUACCAACCCGAUGCAAACUGCGAAUACCGGAGAAUGUUAUCACGGGAGACACACGGCGGGUGCUAACGUCCGUCGUGAAGAGGGAAACAACCCAGACCGCCAGCUAAGGUCCCAAAGUCAUGGUUAAGUGGGAAACGAUGUGGGAAGGCCCAGACAGCCAGGAUGUUGGCUUAGAAGCAGCCAUCAUUUAAAGAAAGCGUAAUAGCUCACUGGUCGAGUCGGCCUGCGCGGAAGAUGUAACGGGGCUAAACCAUGCACCGAAGCUGCGGCAGCGACACUAUGUGUUGUUGGGUAGGGGAGCGUUCUGUAAGCCUGUGAAGGUGGCCUGUGAGGGUUGCUGGAGGUAUCAGAAGUGCGAAUGCUGACAUAAGUAACGAUAAAGCGGGUGAAAAGCCCGCUCGCCGGAAGACCAAGGGUUCCUGUCCAACGUUAAUCGGGGCAGGGUGAGUCGACCCCUAAGGCGAGGCCGAAAGGCGUAGUCGAUGGGAAACAGGUUAAUAUUCCUGUACUUGGUGUUACUGCGAAGGGGGGACGGAGAAGGCUAUGUUGGCCGGGCGACGGUUGUCCCGGUUUAAGCGUGUAGGCUGGUUUUCCAGGCAAAUCCGGAAAACCAAGGCUGAGGCGUGAUGACGAGGCACUACGGUGCUGAAGCGACAAAUGCCCUGCUUCCAGGAAAAGCCUCUAAGCAUCAGGUAACAUCAAAUCGUACCCCAAACCGACACAGGUGGUCAGGUAGAGAAUACCAAGGCGCUUGAGAGAACUCGGGUGAAGGAACUAGGCAAAAUGGUGCCGUAACUUCGGGAGAAGGCACGCUGAUAUGUAGGUGAAGCGACUUGCUCGUGGAGCUGAAAUCAGUCGAAGAUACCAGCUGGCUGCAACUGUUUAUUAAAAACACAGCACUGUGCAAACACGAAAGUGGACGUAUACGGUGUGACGCCUGCCCGGUGCCGGAAGGUUAAUUGAUGGGGUUAGCGGUAACGCGAAGCUCUUGAUCGAAGCCCCGGUAAACGGCGGCCGUAACUAUAACGGUCCUAAGGUAGCGAAAUUCCUUGUCGGGUAAGUUCCGACCUGCACGAAUGGCGUAAUGAUGGCCAGGCUGUCUCCACCCGAGACUCAGUGAAAUUGAACUCGCUGUGAAGAUGCAGUGUACCCGCGGCAAGACGGAAAGACCCCGUGAACCUUUACUAUAGCUUGACACUGAACAUUGAGCCUUGAUGUGUAGGAUAGGUGGGAGGCUUUGAAGUGUGGACGCCAGUCUGCAUGGAGCCGACCUUGAAAUACCACCCUUUAAUGUUUGAUGUUCUAACGUUGGCCCGUAAUCCGGGUUGCGGACAGUGUCUGGUGGGUAGUUUGACUGGGGCGGUCUCCUCCUAAAGAGUAACGGAGGAGCACGAAGGUUGGCUAAUCCUGGUCGGACAUCAGGAGGUUAGUGCAAUGGCAUAAGCCAGCUUGACUGCGAGCGUGACGGCGCGAGCAGGUGCGAAAGCAGGUCAUAGUGAUCCGGUGGUUCUGAAUGGAAGGGCCAUCGCUCAACGGAUAAAAGGUACUCCGGGGAUAACAGGCUGAUACCGCCCAAGAGUUCAUAUCGACGGCGGUGUUUGGCACCUCGAUGUCGGCUCAUCACAUCCUGGGGCUGAAGUAGGUCCCAAGGGUAUGGCUGUUCGCCAUUUAAAGUGGUACGCGAGCUGGGUUUAGAACGUCGUGAGACAGUUCGGUCCCUAUCUGCCGUGGGCGCUGGAGAACUGAGGGGGGCUGCUCCUAGUACGAGAGGACCGGAGUGGACGCAUCACUGGUGUUCGGGUUGUCAUGCCAAUGGCACUGCCCGGUAGCUAAAUGCGGAAGAGAUAAGUGCUGAAAGCAUCUAAGCACGAAACUUGCCCCGAGAUGAGUUCUCCCUGACUCCUUGAGAGUCCUGAAGGAACGUUGAAGACGACGACGUUGAUAGGCCGGGUGUGUAAGCGCAGCGAUGCGUUGAGCUAACCGGUACUAAUGAACCGUGAGGCUUAACCUUACAACGCCGAAG